UCCGUAGGUGAACCUGCGGAAGGAUCAUUAUCGUGGGGCUCCGGCCCCGUCGAGAUAGAACCCUUGCCUUUUUUGAGUACCGUCCGUUUCCUCGGCAGGCCCGCCUGCCAGGACCCCAUAAACCAAACCCUUUUAUAUCUGUAUUAGUCUGAAAAACAAACAAAAGUUAAAACUUUCAACAAUGGAUCUCUUGGUUCUGGCAUCGAUGAAGAACGCAGCGAAAUGCGAUAAGUAGUGUGAAUUGCAGAAUUCAGUGAAUCAUCGAAUCUUUGAACGCACAUUGCGCCCUUUGGUAUUCCUUAGGGCAUGCCUGUUCGAGCGUCAUUUAACACCGUCAAGCUCCGCUUGGUGUUGGGCGUCUGUCCCGCCUCCGGGCUGUGGACUCGCCUUGAAAUCAUUGGCGGCCGGUACGUUGGCUUCGAGCGCAGCAGAAACGCGAACUCGAGGCCGGCGGGCCAGCUCCCAGAAGCUACCCCCCAUAUUUUGACCUCGGAUCAGGUAGGGAUACCCGCUGAACUUAA
rnacentral:rRNA from 1 species